GAUGAACGCUGGCGGCGUGCCUAAUACAUGCAAGUCGAGCGAACAUACGAGGAGCUUGCUCCUCUGACGUUAGCGGCGGACGGGUGAGUAACACGUGGAUAACCUACCUAUAAGACUGGGAUAACUUCGGGAAACCGGAGCUAAUACCAGAUAAUAUAUUAAACCGCAUGGAUCAAUAGUGAAAGACGGUUUUGCUGUCACUUAUAGUACGAUCCGCGCCGCAUUAGCUAGUUGGUAAGGUAACGGCUUACCAAGGCAACGAUGCGUAGCCGAAUUGAGAGGGUGAUCGGCCACACUGGAACUGAGACACGGUCCAGACUCCUACGGGAGGCAGCAGUAGGGAAUCUUCCGCAAUGGGCGAAAGCCUGACGGAGCAACGCCGCGUGAGUGAUGAAGGUCUUCGGAUCGUAAAACUCUGUUAUUAGGGAAGAACAAGUGUGUAAGUAACUAUGCACGUCUUGACGGUACCUAACCAGAAAGCCACGGCUAACUACGUG
rnacentral:rRNA from 1 species